UUCAAUCAGGUUAAAAAAAUGUAUGUGCAAAAGCGACUCGAAGACGAUUUAGAUUUGUCUCCUGAAUAUAAAACUUCCAAGAAGUACAUCAUAUAUGAAUAUCCUGUAUCCUCGCAUUUGAUGUAUUGAACUGGCGAUAGAAUGAAAUCAGUCAGUGUUAAAAAUGUAUCUAUAAAAGCGACUUUAAGAUGAUGGAGAUUUGUACACUGAACAUAAAACUUCCAAAAUUUGGGGCAGUAUGUCAUAUGUGCAUAAUCUGUAUCCUGGCAUUUGAUGCAAUGAACUGGCGAUAGAAUGAAAUAAUGAAAAAUAGGCAGGCUGUUUGAUGUAUAAGGAAGUGGCGAUAGAAUACUUAUGCAACACUUCACACUUCACGCCCCAAAAAUAGAAUUACGUUCAUUAGAUAUACAACAAUUUUCAUUAAAUAUACUGUUAUUAAUAUGUUAAGAUUGAAUAAUUUGUAAAUAGUUUUCUAGUAUAGUUCAUGUUAAAAU